AUACGGAGGGGGUUAGCGUUGUUCGGAAUUACUGGGCGUAAAGCGUACGUAGGCGGAUCGGAAAGUAAGGGGUGAAAUCCCAGGGCUCAACCCUGGAACUGCCUCUUAAACUCCCGGUCUUGAGUUCGAGAGAGGUGAGUGGAAUUCCUAGUGUAGAGGUGAAAUUCGUAGAUAUUAGGAGGAACACCAGUGGCGAAGGCGGCUCACUGGCUCGAUACUGACGCUGAGGUACGAAAGUGUGGGGAGCAAACAGGAUUAGAAACCCCGGUAGUCC
rnacentral:rRNA from 1 species